rnacentral:rRNA from 1 species
GACGAACGCUGGCGGCGUGCUUAACACAUGCAAGUCGAACGGUAAGGCCCUUCGGGGUACACGAGUGGCGAACGGGUGAGUAACACGUGGGUGAUCUGCCCUGCACUUCGGGAUAAGCCUGGGAAACUGGGUCUAAUACCGGAUAGGACUCCUGGCUUCAUGGUUGGGGGUGGAAAGCUUUUGCGGUGUGGGAUGGGCCCGCGGCCUAUCAGCUUGUUGGUGGGGUAAUGGCCUACCAAGGCGACGACGGGUAGCCGGCCUGAGAGGGUGACCGGUCACACUGGGAAGGAGAUACGGCCCAGACUCCUACGGGAGGCAGCAGUGGGGAAUAUUGCAAAAUGGGCGCAAGCCUGAUGCAGCGACGCCGCGUGAGGGAUGACGGCCUUCGGGUUGUAAACCUCUUUCAGCUAUGACGAAGCGCAAGUGACGGUAGUAGCAGAAGAAGGACCGGCCAACUACGUGCCAGCCGCCGCGGUAA